AUUGAACGCUGGCGGCAGGCCUAACACAUGCAAGUCGAGCGGAAGAAGGGAGCUUGCUCCUGGAUUCAGGGGCGGACGGGUGAGUAAUGCCUAGGAAUCUGCCUGCUAGUGGGGGAUAACGCCCGGAAACGGGCGCUAAUACAGCAUACGUGCUGAGGGUGAAGGUAGGGGUUCUUCGGACCUCACGCGACCAGAUGAUCCUAGGUCGGAUUAGCUAGUUGGUGGGGUAAAGGCCUACCAAGGCGACGAUCCGUAACUGGUCUGAGAGGAUGAUCAGUCACACUGGAACUGAGACACGGUCCAGACUCCUACGGGCAGUCGCAGUCUACAAUAUUCGACUCCGGUCGAAAGUUUGAUCCAGGCACAGCCUGUGUGUGCAGAAAGUCUUGGGGCUGUUAAGAAGCAUACCAAGGGAGCAAGCUCAGUAGGUUUAGGGGUUGCUGUAUUGACGUUACCAAGAGAAUAAGCCCCGGCUAACUUUGUU
rnacentral:rRNA from 1 species